GGGAUAGGCCUUCAAUGACUUCGUUUUUGGAGAAAAGAACAAUCCAGAGGGUCUUCGGUCGCCUUGGACGCCUGGCUCCGAAAGGAUAUCAACAAACUGGAAUGUGUCUAGAGGAGGACAACCAAAAUGUCUGGAAACCAAGUCCUAUGAAGAUUGGCUUGGGGAAGUUGGAGAAGAGAAGAUGAUAUCAUAGCC
rnacentral:lncRNA from 11 species